rnacentral:rRNA from 1 species
AUACAGAGGGUGCGAGCGUUAAUCGGAAUUACUGGGCGUAAAGCGCGCGUAGGCGGCUUAUUAAGUCAGAUGUGAAAUCCCCGGGCCCAACCUGGGAACUGCAUCUGAUACUGGUAAGCUAGAGUUUUGGAGAGGGAAGUAGAAUUUCAGGUGUAGCGGUGAAAUGCAUAGAGAUCUGAAGGAAUACCAGUGGCGAAGGCGACUUCCUGGCCAAAAACUGACGCUGAGGUGCGAAAGCGUGGGUAGCAAACGGGAUUAGAUACCCUAGUAGUCC